UACAGAGGUGGCAAGCGUUGUUCGGAAUUACUGGGCGUAAAGGGCGCGUAGGCGGCCAUCUAAGUCAGACGUGAAAUCCCCCGGCUUAACCUGGGAACUGCGUCUGAUACUGGAAGGCUUGAGUAUGGGAGAGGGAUGUAGAAUUCCAGGUGUAGCGGUGAAAUGCGUAGAUAUCUGGAGGAACACCAAUUGCGAAGGCAGCUCGCUGGAACGUAACUGACGCUGAGACGCGAAAGCGUGGGGAGCAAACAGG
rnacentral:rRNA from 1 species